rnacentral:piRNA from 1 species
UCCAUUAUGCCUUGAGUACCCUUGCUUU